rnacentral:tRNA from 1 species
GUGGAUAUAACUCCGUGGUAGGGCACAUGCUUAGUGUGCAUGAGGUCCUGGGUUCAAUCCCCAGUACCUCCA